rnacentral:rRNA from 1 species
UACGUAUGGUGCAAGCGUUAUCCGGAUUUACUGGGUGUAAAGGGAGCGUAGGCGGCGCGUUAAGUCUGAUGUGAAAACCCGAGGCUCAACCACGGGAGUGCAUUGGAAACUGGCGAGCUGGAGUGCCGGAGAGGUAAGCGGAAUUCCUAGUGUAGCGGUGAAAUGCGUAGAUAUUAGGAGGAACAUCAGUGGAGAAGGCGACUAUCUGGACAGCAACUGACACUGAGGCACGAAAGCGUGGGGAGCAAACAGG